CAGGGCCCACACGUACCCAGAUGGAUCGGCCCUGAUUAUUGUGUGCAGGUACGGGAGUCCGGGGCCGCCAAGCGGGACCACGCCGGGGAGCCAGGCCGAGGGUCCGGGGCCGCCAAGCGGGACCACGCCGGGGAGCCAGGCCGAGGGUCCGGGGCCGCCAAGCGGGACCACGCCGGGGAGCCAGGCCGAGGGUCCGGGGCCGCCAAGCGGGACCACGCCGGAGAGCCAGGCCGAGGGUCCGGGGCCGCCAAGCGGGACCACGCCGGGGAGCCAGGCCGAGGGUCCGGGGCCGCCAAGCGGGACCACGCCGGGGAGCCAGGCCGAGGGUCCGGGGCCGCCAAGCGGGACCACGCCGGGGAGCCAGGCCGAGGGUCCGGGGCCGCCAAGCGGGACCACGCCGGGGAGCCAGGCCGAGGGUCCGGGGCCGCCAAGCGGGACCACGCCGGGGAGCCAGGCCGAGGGUCCGGGGCCGCCACGCCUGACCACGCCGGGGAGCCAGGCCGAGGGUCCGGGGCCGCCAAGCGGGACCACGCCGGAGAGCCAGGCCGAGGGUCCGGGGCCGCCAAGCGGGACCACGCCGGGGAGCCAGGCCGAGGGUCCGGGGCCGCCAAGCGGGACCACGCCGGGGAGCCAGGCCGAGGGACCGGGGCCGCCACGCCUGACCACGCCGGGGAGCCAGGCCGAGGGACCGGGGCCGCCACGCCUGACCACGCCGGGGAGCCAGCCCGAGGGACCGGGGCCGCCACGCCUGACCACGCCGGGGAGCCAGCCCGAGGGACCGGGGCCGCCACGCCUGACCACGCCGGGGAGCCAGCCCGAGGGACCGGGGCCGCAGGGCAGGGCAGGGCAGGAGCCCUGUGGUUGCCGCCGUCCACCCCGCCGCCUCCACUGAUGGUACUGUUGGGGCUCCGAGGACGUAGCCCUUGGAGGGGGGGCUCUGUCAGGAUUGCCUGCAGCUGGGCUCCACACCUGACUUUAAUCCUGACGCCCCAUAAAUGCCGGAAGUUUCCGCCCGUUCGGGGUCGCUGGCAUUUUCGUGGACUCUGCACGAACUUGACCUGGUUUUGUUUUGAGUGUUUUGAGUUCUGGCAAUCGCCACACGCCUACGGGUUAGUUUAUGUUCGUAAUUUAAGUUAAAUUGUUUUCGGCCACCGCGCCAUUGUUUAUUUGUAUUUCGUUAUUGUUUGUUAUAAUAAAACCCCCUUCCCAG
rnacentral:lncRNA from 1 species